rnacentral:sRNA from 19 species
CUCACGCCUUCGUUAGCCGAAUCUUAUUACCGCCAGAUUUUCGCCCAUCGAACGCCCGGUCGACUUGCGAAAACAUCCUGGCGUUGGCCCGAUCCAGGCGGUCUCGGAUUCCUCAGCCCCCAGCCCCCCGAGGUCGUCGGGGUCGGGCCUGACGCAGCAACCAAUCCCCCAGCCUGGGCCAACGUGAGUUGGCCUUUUU